ACGCUCGACACCUACGGGAGGCUGCAGUCGGGAAUAUUGCGCAAUGGAGGAAACUCUGACGCAGUGACGCCGCGUGCAGGAAGAAGGUUUUCGGAUUGUAAACUGCUUUAGACAGGGAAGAAAGAAAUGACAGUACCUGUAGAAUAAGCUCCGGCUAACUACGUGCCGGCAGCCGCGGUAAUCUGAGCGGGCUGGCAAGGC
rnacentral:rRNA from 1 species